GAUUGGCCCAUUGAAUUACAGGAGAGAGAGAAGAGGGCCUCACAUUUGCUUCUGAUUCCACGCAACUUCCCAUCUCUCUCGUUCUUUCCACCGCCACCGCCGCUAGGGUUGCCGCCGCCGCUGCCAACGCCGCCCCAAGCCGUAUUCGCCUCGACGGGUCUCAACCUGCCAGGCGGAGCGACCCCCCGAUGCCGGUGCUCGAGGGCGAGGGAAGCUUCUAGAAGGGGGCUGAGGAGGCGUGGUUAGGCCAUUAGGGUCUGACCUGGUGACUGGUGUUGGGAGGCGGGGCCGGAUUGGGGGAGGUUUCGAGGGAGGAGGGGACGCGGAUGAGGGCCGCUGCAACAUCGGGGACAUCUCGCCGGGGACCAUUGUGUGGGUGCGGCGAAGGAACGACUACUGGUGGCUCCGACGGGAUCUUGGGCCAAGGCGAGUUGCCGCCAUCGCUGAUCAUGUCUCCCAGGUCUGGCACGCCGGACAAGCUUCUCGGCCGCGAGGACGCCAGCAUGUCCUCGCUCGCUUCACAAUCCAUACAGGAGGGGGACUGCAUACUAUAAGUGCCUCAAAAUGUUUUCUGUACCUAAUCCUAAUCCUAAGCAAUCCCUUUUUUGAAGAAUAUCCUGCUAUUUUCCUCUCUAAGAUGCAGUAUCCUGCUAAUUUUGAUGGUUUGUUAAAUAAUUUUCUUGUAUACAGGUUGCGGCUGAUCUAGAGAUGGUCUCCGCAAGAAAAAAUUGGACCAGUUGACCUUCCACGGGCAUGCAUAUCAUGAUAUAAUCAAGAGCCACAAAUUUUAGUUUUGCCUUUUUCACAUAGCUUUUAAAGAUAAACGAGGAUCUUCCUGAUGCAGAUGGCACAUGACAGAUUCUGAUUAAUUAAUGUCGGAGUAAAUGGCCAUGGGUAGCCUAGCCGGCUUCCCCUGGCACUUCUGUAAAAAUUACGAGCCAGCCCGGCUCUCAUGAAUCCAAAACAUAGGGCCACCUUCCCCCCGCCGGCCGCGAUCCAGGCCGGCUUUGGGAAGGCGGUCCGACUUCAAUCUUCAUUGGGGUCCGACUCCAAUGAAGCCGGCUACGAGAAGGCCGACUCCUUCGAGCCGGCUCCCCAUAAAGUAGUCAAGACCGUACCCACAAAGUUUGCACCCACCUAACGGCGGUGCGACGGGGCAUGGCUACAGAAGAGCCUGCCACCCCCAAAUC